GGAGUCGGCCGGGCGGUCGCUGCGUUCGCGCAGAGGAAAGUCCGGGCUCCACAGGACGAGGUGCCAGGUAACACCUGGGGGGCGUGAGCCCACGGACAGUGCCACAGAAAACAUACCGCCGAUGGCCUUCGGGCUCAGGUAAGGGUGAAAAGGUGCGGUAAGAGCGCACCGCGCGACGGGUAACCGGCCGCGGCACGGAAAACCCCACCUGGAGCAAGACCAAAUAGGGGAGCAACGGGCUUGUCCCGCACAUGUGGUCCGCAUGGCUUCCGGGUAGGUCGCUCGAGGUGUACGGUGACGUACAUCCCAGAUGAAUGACUGUCCCUCGACAGAACCCGGCUUACAGGCCGACUCCUUUC
rnacentral:RNase_P_RNA from 1 species